AUGCAGAAAACUGAAACUGGACAUCUUCCUUAUACCUUAUACAAAAAAAUAACGCAAGAUGGAAUAAAGACUUAAACAUAACACCUAAAACCAUAAAAACCCUGGAAGAAAACCUAGGCAAUACCAUCUACUCCUAUUUAAUAUAGUACUGAAGGUUCUAGUUAGUUAAAACAAUAAGGCAAGUAAAAUAAUAAAAGAUAUUCCAAUUUUUAAAAAAGUAAAAUUUUCUGUUCG
rnacentral:lncRNA from 1 species